rnacentral:rRNA from 1 species
UGCCAGCCGCCGCGGUAAUACGUAGGGUGCAAGCGUUGUCCGGAAUUACUGGGUUUAAAGGGUACGUAGGUGGGCGUCUAAGUCUGGAGUGAAAGUUUGAGGCUCAACCUCGAAAGUGCUUUGGAUACUGGGCGUCUAGAAUUAGAUAUAGGUAGCUGGAAUUUGUGGUGUAGCGGUGAAAUGCAUAGAUACCACGAGGAACACCAAUUGCGAAGGCAGGCUACUGGGUCUAUAUUGACACUGAUGUACGAAAGUGUGGGUAGCGAACAGGAUUAGAUA